GGUUUCUCUGUGUAGCCUUGUCUUGGAACUCACUUUGUAGACCAGGCUGGUCUCGAACUCAGAAAUCCACCUGCCUCUGCCUCCCAAGUGCUGGGAUUAAAGGCAUGCGCCACCACUGCCUG
rnacentral:miRNA from 1 species